rnacentral:lncRNA from 10 species
CUUCUUCCGGGGAGCCGAGCCCGCCCUCCCGGCCUAGGCGGUGAGUGCGCGGCGCCCGCUCCUCCGCCCCGGCGCGCGGGGGAGACGCGGGGCGCGCCCGGGGCCCCGCCUGUGCGCCGGGAAGGGGGCGGCCUCCUCCCGCGGGUCUUGGCCGGGAGGAUCGCACGCGUGGGGCGCCUGCAGGAAGUGGGAAGGGAAGAGGCUGUCUGUAAAGCCCCUGCCUGGGCUCGGGCUCGGGCUCGGCUUGGGUCGGACACCCGCGGAGCGAAGCGCAACUGGCGGACCGUGGCAGUUCAGGGCAGGGCAGAGCCCUGCACACACCCCCUCGCGCCUCCCUCCUCUUCGGCUUUAACUCUAGGAACUAAAACAGUGGGGCUCCUACUCAGCUUGGAACUAAGGUGGGCGUGAGCUGAGCAAGAGAGAAGGAAGGAAAAGCAGGGGGUGGAGGGAAAGACAAACUGAGAAAUCUGGGAGAGUACGGGCGGUGGUAGGGGGAGCCGAGGCAGCGGGAGAGGGGGGCGUCUCGGUAUGAAAGCGUCGCCGUGCUAGCCGGGAACUCUUUUCUCUUUUCGUGUCUGGAUCUUGGUCAACGUUGGGGCUUCUGAGUCGAACCUCCCUCCAUCUACCCUCCCCAAGGGGCAGGGCAGUCGGGUUGAAAAGGGGAAGCGCUGCUGUACGCCUGGCUCUGACAUGGCUUGGGCAAGUCGCUGCACCUCUGGGUGCCUCCUCCCUCGCCCGCGCUCCGGAGAGAACCUCCCUGCAGUGAGGAGGGGCGGUGCAAGGUGCUCUCAGCUGGCGCCUGGAGGCAGGGUUGAGGAACCGAGGGGGCGCCGCGAGGAAAAGUGUUUCCGCCCACCUCUAACCCCUUCUCUAGCCGAGGACGGGGAUUUGGGGUCUAUUGUUUGGGUCCUACAGAGCUGGGCUGGGGCCUUGCCACGAAGUGUUGCUACCACCUGCUGGUUUUUCUAGGGAGCACAAGCACCCGGUGCGAUUCCCUUUGCCCCCUUUUCUCCCUGUAUCGCCCUGUCCCAUCUUGCUCUCCUGUUUAUUAAAGCAAAUGGGCUGAUCAAAACUGGUACUUAAAGAGCAUUCAGAAGCCGAAGAAAAUUGUGAAAGAGAUCUAUGAGCCAACAAACACAAUAAACAAAACAAUGAAACUCAGUAAGAGUCACCUGGGAGAGACAAACAGGCUUUAAUGAAUUGACUGAAUGAGUGAUAGAAAGAUAAAGGCUACCGAGCAAGUUCCCACUUGGCCAGGGGUUUGUUCACUCUUAAUAUCAGGAGUCAAUAAAUAAGUCUGAUAGUAUUUAAUGACUGCAUUUGGACGUCAUUAAUAAUUCCACUUGUACUGACGGUUCUACUUUAUCUUGUUUCUUCCCUUUGCCCUGAAACUCAGUGGUGGAGGGCUUCCUUCAUUUUCUGGUUAUCUCCAAGGCUUUCAAAGACUUCUGCAAAGAAACAGAAUUUGCAUUGUGUGUGGAAUUACGUAACUCAUACAUUAACAUGCCUGAUUGCUAGACAUCUAUGGUUAUAUUGAAAACUUAAAAAAAAGACACAUAACUAGAUUAUGUUAAAAUAAAAAUAUGGACAAAACCAAACCGUAGUUGUUACUUUAUAAAACCCAGAAAUUCCUGUAGUAAUUUGCAACGUAUCCUGUAUUGACAUAACAGUAAAAAUAUCUGCCUUCUUUUCUAUUUCAUGAUAUACCUCAUAUUAGGUGACUAUAAUAUGAAAUGAAGUUUUUGCUGCUCAAGGCUUGUGUAAUUAGUUAUAUUUGUCUUGUUAAUAAAAUUUGAGAGGCAUCUAGUUUUCAAAGGAAGUGUCAUACUCAGGAUGCAAAGAGGUUUAAAUUUGUGAUUAGUCGGCUUUGCAUCCUAAUUGCCUAUGUCUUAUCAAACCAAGUUUUAAUGGUAGGUGGAGAGCAUAGAAUGCAUUGUUAAAGUAUGCUGCAACCUGCAGCUAUUAAAAAGCAAAGUAAUGAAUUCCUUUUUAAAGUUUAAUGUAAAUUUUUUGCUAUAAUUU